GCAGUCGCCACGGGAACACGAAGGGUGCAAGCGUUAAUCGGAAUUACUGGGCGUAAAGCGUGCGUAGGCGGUGAGUUAAGUCUGCUGUGGAAUCCCCGGGCUCAACCUGGGAAUGGCAGUGGAUACUGGCUCGCUAGAGUGUGUCAGAGGAUGGUGGAAUUCCCGGUGUAGCGGUGAAAUGCGCAGAGAUCGGGAUGAACAUCAGUGGCGAAGGCGGCCAUCUGGGACAACACUGACGCUGAGGCACGAAAGCGUGGGGAGCAAACAGGAUUAGAUACCCCCGUAGUCCCUGUCUCUUAUA
rnacentral:rRNA from 1 species